AUAAAUGGCCCUGGCCCCGCCUUUGCAGUCCUCUUUGUGCGGUAAACUCGUGGCUGGUGAGGAUGGCCGUCGCGGAGUUCGCCUGGCUUUUGCUGCGAAACCGUCCCCAAAGGCGGGGGAGGGUGCCGCCCGGCACAUUUGCUUAGCUGCGCACAUGCAGGCCCCUGGUGCUCGAAGGAAGAUCCGCAGCGCGACGAGGGAGUGUAAGAUGUCCACAUCUUAAAUGGCCGCACUCGCCGCGUAAGUCCAGGGCCAAGGAUCGAAGCCCAGCCGCAGAAGCACGGAAUCCUUUAACCUGCAUCAGGCUGGGGAUGGAACCCGCACCUCCGCAGCGACCCCAGCAGCUGCAGUCGUAUUUUUAACACAGUGUGCAAGAGCGGGAACUCCUUAUUUUUGAAUAAGGCCCGAGAGCUCCUUAUCUUUGAAGCCCAGCCAGGGGCUGUCCCUUUCAGAGAUCUGGGCUAGACUGGAAAGAUUCUGGAAGGCCUAAGGUUUGGAAUUCUCUUGAAGAGCUGACAGGAUGGCUGUGGUGCCCAUAUAGUGGUUCCUGCCACUUGAACAGGCUGUGAGAAGUGGAGAAGAUGCCUUCAGCUUGGGUUCUGUGAACUUUGCAGACACAAAAGGAUGUCCUCUCUGGUGUUGGACAGAUCUUGGGAGCUUCACAUCUUUCCUGCAUUAACACAUGGGAGCAGCUAUCAACUCUUCCGAGCCAGGCGAACUGCCUAGAAAUUUGGGGACCCUUAAAUAUCAAUUAGGUGGUCUUCACUUCUUUACUUGGUUUUAGCAAAAGGAUUCCAAUAAAAUAUUUAAAAGUAAAUGAAAAAUAGAUUGGUCUUAGGCCAUAGCAACCACCAGAGCCACUGCAGUGACAACACCAGAUCCUUGACCUGCUGCGCCUCAAGGGAAAUCCUGAUAGUUGAGGUUUUUAUGAGACUGUUACAACAGUUAUCCAUUUGGCUUUUGAUGAGUUUGGUGAAAACAUAGAUUGUUCAGAUAUAUUUUGAAAGAAUUCUAUUCCUGGUGGUUGCCAGGGGCUGAGGAGGAGAAAAUGAGCAGUUAUUAAUGGGUUUAGAGUUUCAGUUGCCCAGCAUGAAAAGAAUGCAUGGGGGUGAAAGGUGGUAGUUCCACAAUGUUAUGAAUGUAUCAUCAGUGAAUUGUUUGCUUAAAGUGGUAAAAAUGGUAAGUUUUAUGUUUAUUUCACCCCAAUAAAAAAAUGGGGAAAAUC